UGGGGAAUAUUGCACAAUGGGCGCAAGCCUGAUGCAGCCAUGCCGCGUGUAUGAAGAAGGCCUUCGGGUUGUAAAGUACUUUCAGUCGGGAGGAAGGUGGUAAGGUUAAUAACCUUAUCAAUUGACGUUACCGACAGAAGAAGCACCGGCUAACUCCGUGCCAGCAGCCGCGGUAAUACGGAGGGUGCAAGCGUUAAUCGGAAUUACUGGGCGUAAAGCGCACGCAGGCGGUUGAUUGAGUCAGAUGUGAAAUCCCCGGGCUUAACCCGGGAAUUGCAUCUGAUACUGGUCAGCUAGAGUCUUGUAGAGGGGGGUAGAAUUCCAGGUGUAGCGGUGAAAUGCGUAGAGAUCUGGAGGAAUACCGGUGGCGAAGGCGGCACCCUGGACGAAGACUGACGCUCAGGUGCGAAAGCGUGGGGAGCAAACAGG
rnacentral:rRNA from 1 species